rnacentral:misc_RNA from 1 species
GCAAACUUGGUCAUUUAGAGGAAGUAAAAGUCGUAACAAGGUUUCCGUAGGUAUGUUAUCAAAAAAUUCUACUCUCUUUUUCAUUCAAUAACUAAUUAAAUUAAUAGGUGAACCUGCGGAAGGAUCAUUAAAAAGAUUAGGUACCUUUGGUACCUAUCUUCAACCCAAUGUGAACCUUUAAAAUGUUGCUUUGACAAACCGUUAAAUUUAUUUAACCUUUGGAUUUAUACUAAAGUGUGUUUGUCAAGGAAUUUUUAAACUCAAUUUUUAAUGAAAUUCUGAAAAAAUUAUAAAUAAAUUAAAACUUUCAACAACGGAUCUCUUGGUUCUGGCAUCGAUGAAGAACGCAGC